CAGUACGCAGUGGCAGUUUUUGAGCAGUUUGAACUGCAGGAGGUUUUUCGCAAUUGUGGCUAUUCUAUAUAGCACCCACGCCCUUUUGAGCCUUCCCUGAGCUGAGGAAGGAGGAGAUCAAGGCUUUUUUUCCACCAUUGGAGAGGACUUGGAGCUUUGUUAAAGGCUUGUUGGAGAGGAGAACUUCAACCCUAUUUGAUUUGGAGCCUAGUUGGGAGCUUCUUGAGAGGGCUUUUGGAGCUUGAUUAAUUGGAUUAGAACCUUCC